rnacentral:rRNA from 1 species
UACGUAGGUGACAAGCGUUGUCCGGAUUUACUGGGCGUAAAGAGCUCGCAGGCGGUCGUUCAAGUCGAGUGUGAAAGCCCCCGGCUCAACUGGGGAGGGUCACUCGAUACUGAUCGACUCGAAGGCAGGAGAGGGAAGUGGAAUUCCCGGUGUAGCGGUGAAAUGUGUAGAGAUCGGGAAGAACACCCGUGGCGAAGGCGACGUGCUGGGCUGAACCUGACGCUGAGAUGCGAAAGUGUGGGGAGCAAACGGG